CAAUAUAAGUGAUGGCGACCGGCGCACGGGUGAGUAACACGUAUCCAACCUGCCGAUAACUCGGGGAUAGCCUUUCGAAGGAAAGAUUAAUACCCGAUGGUAUAAUAAAACCGCAUGGUUUAAUUAUUAAAGAAUUUCGGUUAUCGAUGGGGAUGCGUUCCAUUAGGCAGUUGGUGAGGUAACGGCUCACCAAACCUUCGAUGGAUAGGGGUUCUGAGAGGAAGGUCCCCCACAUUGGAACUGAGACACGGUCCAA
rnacentral:rRNA from 1 species